rnacentral:lncRNA from 1 species
UCAAAUCGUCAGAACCACGUGUGGGACACGCCAAAAUCACCUGCCAGCUAUGCCAGAACCACUUGGUGGACAAUCCGGAAUCACCCGCUGUGCAUGCCGGAACCACCUCUCAGACGUGCCAGAAACACGUGCCGGAGAUGCCAGAAGCACCUGCCAAGCAUGCCGGAACCACCAGGUCGACUCGCCGGAACCACCUGCCGGACAUGCCAAAAUCACCUUCCAGCUAUGCCAGAACCACUUGGCGGACACUCCGGAAUCAUAUGCCGGGUGCGUCGGAACCGCAUCUAAGACGUGCCUGAACCAUGUGCCAGACACGCAGGAACCACCUCCCGGACACACCGGAACCACCUGCCGAGCACGCCAAACCACCUGCUCGACUCGCCGGAACCACCAGCCCGACACGCCUAAACCACCUGCCGAGCAUGCUGGAACCACAUGCUCGACCUGCCGAAACACCUGCCAGACAUGCCCAAAUCACCAGCCGGCUACGCCAGAACCACUUGUUGGACGCUCCAGAAUCACCUGCCGGGCAUGCCGGAACCACCUCUCAGACGUGGCAGAAGCACAAGCCGGAGACGCUGGAAGCACGUGCAGAUCAUGCCGGAACCACCUGAUCCCCAGAACCACCUGCCGGACACGCCAAAAUCACCUGCCGGCUACGCAAGAACCACUUGGUGGACAAUCAGGAAUCACCUGACGGGAAUGCCGGAACCACCUCUCACACGUGCCAGAAACACGUGCUGGAGUCGCUGGAAGCACCUGCCGAGUACGCUGGAACCACCUGCUCGACUUGCAGGACCCACUUGCCGGACACGCCCAAAUCACCUGCUGGCUAUGCCAACACCACUUGGCGGACACUCCAGAAUCACCUGCCUGGCAUGCCGGAACCACCUCUCAGACGUGCCAGGACCACGUGCUGGACACGCCGAAACCACCUACAGGACAGUCAGGAAACAAUUGCCGAGCAUGCCAGACCCACCUGCUCGACUCACGGGAACCACCUUCCAGACACACCAAGAUCACCCGCCGGCGCACCAGAACCACUUGGUAGCCAUUCCGGAAUCACUCUCCUGGCAUGCUGGAACCACCUCUCAGACGUGCCAGGACCACGUGCUGGACACGCCGGAGCCACCUCCCGGACAGACUGGAACCACUUGCCGGACCUGCCUGAACCACCUACCGAGGACGCCGGAACCACCUGCUCGACUUGCAGGACCCAUCUACGGGACACGCCAAAAUCACCUGCCGGCUGCGCCAGAACCACUAGUCUGACACUCCAGAAUCACCUGUCGGGCAUGCCAGAACCACCUCUCAAACCUGCCAGAACCACGUGUCAGAGACGCCAGAAGCACCUGCCGAGCUCGCCGGAACCACCUUCCCAAUAUGCCGGAACCACCUGCCAGACACGCUAAAAUCACCUGCCGGCUACACCAGAACCACUUAGUGGACAAUCCAGAAUCACGUGCCGGGCAUGUCAGAACCACCUCUCAGACGUGCCAGAACCACGUGGAGGAUAGGCCGGAAGCACCUGCCGAGCUCGCACAAACCACAUGCUCGACUCGCUGGAGCCACCUGCCGGACAUGCCAAAGUGACCUGCCGGCUACACCAGAACCACUUGGUGGACAAUACGGAAUCACCUGGCGGGCAUGCUGGAACCACCUCUCAGACGUGCCGGAACCCAGUGCCGGACACGCCGGAACCACCUCCCAGACAGAACGGAACCACCGGCCGGACCUGCCUGAACCACCUGCAGAGCCCGCCGCAACCUCAUACCGGACAUGCCAAAAUUACCUGCCGGCUAUGCCAGAAUCACUUAGAGCAGUCUCCUGGAUCACCUGCCGGGCAUGCCGGAACCACCUCUGAGACUUACCAGAACCACGUGCCAGACACACCGGAACUACGUCCUGGACAGACUGGAAGCACCUGCCGGACACGCCUGAACCAUCUGUCGAGCAUGCAGGCACCACCUGCUCAACUCGCAGGACCCACUUACCGGACAUGCCAAAAUCACAUGCCGGCUGUGCCAGAACCACUUGCCGGACACUCCAGAAUCACUUGCUGGGCAUGCCGGAACCAUCUCUCAGACGUGCUAGAAACACGUGCUGGAGUCGCUGGAAGCACCUGCCGAGAAUGCUGGAAGUACCUGAUGCACUCCACAGAACCACCUGCCGGACACCCCAAAAUCACCUGUUGGCUACGCCAGAACCACUUAGCGCACACUCCGGAAUCACCUGUCAGGCAUGCGGGAACCACCUCUCAGACAUGCCAGACCCACGUGCUGGACACGCCGGAACCACCUACAGGACAGAACAGAACCACCUGCCGGACGCGCCUGAACCAGCUGCCGAGCAUGCCGAAACCACCUGUUGACUUGCAGGACCCACCUGCCUUACACGCCAAAAUACCUGCCGGCUAUGCCAGAACCACUUAAUGGACAAUCCAGAAUCACGUGCUGGGCAUGCCAGAACCACUUCUCAGACGUACCAGAACCACAUGCUGGAGACGCCAGAAGCACCUGCAGAGCUUGCCCAAACUACCUGCUUGACUCGCCAGCACCACCUGCCAGACAUGCAAAAUCACCUGCCGGUUACGCCAGAACCAUUUGUGGACAAUCUGGAAUCACCUGCUCGGCAUGCUGGAACCACCUCUCAGAUGUGCCAGAUGCACGUGCCGGACACCCCGGAACCACCUCCCAGACCGACCGGAACCACCUGCCGGAAAUGCCGGAACCACCUGCUCGACUGGCCGGAACCACAGCUGGACACGCAAAAUCUCCUGCUGGCUAUGCCAGAACCACUUGGCAGACACACUGGAAUCACCUGCUGGGCGUGCUGGAACCACCUGUCAGACAUGCCAGCACCACCUGCCAAAGACACCAGGAGCACCAGCCGAGCACGCGGGAACCACCUGCUCGACUCGCUGGAAGCAGCUUCCGGACACGCCCAAAUCACAUGCCGGCUAUGCCAGAACCACUUGCUGGACUCUCUGGAAUCACCUGCCGGGCAUGCCAGAACCACUGCUGAGACGCGCCAAAACCAGGUGCUGGACACGCCGGAACCACCAACCGGACAGACCGGAACUACCUGCCGGACCCGCCUGAACCACCAGCCGAGCACGCCGGAACCACCUGCUCGACUCACCAGAACCACCUGCCGGAAACGCCAAAAUCACCUGCCGACUACGCCAGAACCACUUGGAGGACUCUCCAUGAU